UAGGGAAUCUUGCGCAAUGGGCGAAAGCCUGACGCAGCGACGCCGCGUGCGGGAAGACGGUCUUCGGAUUGUAAACCGCUUUCAGGAGGGAAGAAGCGAGAGUGACGGUACCUCCAGAAGAAGCCCCGGCCAACUACGUGCCAGCAGCCGCGGUAAUACGUAGGGGGCAAGCGUUGUCCGGAAUUAUUGGGCGUAAAGAGCUCGUAGGCGGCCCGCUAAGUCGGAUGUGAAAUCUCACGGCUCAACCGUGAAACUGCAUCCGAUACUGGCGGGCUUGAGGCAGGUAGGGGAAGGUGGAAUUCCUGGUGUAGCGGUGGAAUGCGCAGAUAUCAGGAGGAACACCAGUGGCGAAGGCGGCCUUCUGGGCCUGUACUGACGCUGAGGAGCGAAAGCGUGGGGAGCAAACAGGAUUAGAUACCCCCGUAGUCC
rnacentral:rRNA from 1 species